rnacentral:rRNA from 1 species
UGUGACUGGGUGCCGGGAGGCGCGGUAAUACAGAGGUGCCGAGGGUGUGGUGGAUUCACUGGGUGUAAGGGGGGCGCAGGUGGGUUGGCAAGUGUGGUGUGAAAGCCCCGGGCUUAACCCGGGAAUGGCAUUGAAUACUGCUGAUCUGGAGGAUCGGAGGGGGGACUGGAAUUCUUGGUGUAGCAGUGAAAUGCGUAGAUAUCAAGAGGAACACCAGUGGCGAAGGCGAGUCCCUGGACGAUACCUGACACUGAGGCACGAAAGCCGGGGGAGCAAACAGGAUUAGAUACCCCAGUAGUC